UCAGAUUGAACGCUGGCGGUAUGCUUAACACAUGCAAGUCGAACGGUAACAUUGGAGCUUGCUCCAGAUGACGAGUGGCGGACGGGUGAGUAAUGCAUAGGAAUCUGCCUAUUAGUGGGGGACAACCUGUGGAAACGCAGGCUAAUACCGCAUACGCCCUACGGGGGAAAGGGGGGGAUCUUCGGACCUCUCGCUAAUAGAUGAGCCUAUGUCAGAUUAGCUAGUUGGUGAGGUAAGAGCUCACCAAGGCGACGAUCUGUAGCUGGUCUGAGAGGAUGAUCAGCCACACCGGGACUGAGACACGGCCCAGACUCCUACGUGAGGCAGCAGUGGGGAAUAUUGGACAAUGGGCGCAAGCCUGAUCCAGCAAUACCGCGUGUGUGAAGAAGGCCUGAGGGUUGUAAAGCACUUUCAAUUGGGAGGAAUACCUGCUGAGAUAAUAUCAGGCAGAUUGACAUUACCUUUAGAAGAAGCACCGGCUAACUCCGUGCCAGCAGCCGC
rnacentral:rRNA from 1 species